GUGAAUCAUCGAAUCUUUGAACGCACAUUGCGCCCCUUGGUAUUCCGAGGGGCAUGCCUGUUCGAGCGUCAUUAUAACCAAUCCAGCUUGCUGGGUCUUGGGCACAGCCAGUUGGCAGGCCUCAAAAGCAGUGGCGGUCCAGCCGGGCUCUCAGCGCAGUAAACUUCCUCGCUACAGACCCCCGGGUGGCACCUGCCAAAACCCCCUAUUUCUCUAGGUUGACCUCGGAUCAGGUAGGGAUACCCGCUGAACUUAAGCAUAUCAAUAAGCGGAGGA
rnacentral:misc_RNA from 1 species